rnacentral:rRNA from 1 species
AUGAACAUCUUGGCCUGGAACUGUCGAGGAUUGGGGUUGGACUCGACGGUGGGCGAACUACGGGACCUGAUACGGUCAUACAACCCAGCGGUGGUAUUCCUAAGUGAAACAAAAAAGAAAGACAGGGCGAUGGAGAAAAUCAAAUGGAGUUUGGUGUUCAGAUCGGGGAUGGCGGUAAAUUGUAAUGGGAAGAGUGGUGGUUUGGCUCUUUGGUGG